GCUCGUGUCGUGAGAUGUUGGGUUAAGUCCCGCAACGAGCGCAACCCUCGCCCUUAGUUGCCAGCAUUUAGUUGGGCACUCUAAGGGGACGUGCCGGUGAUAAGCCGAGAGGAAGGUGGGGAGUGACGUCAAGUCCUCAUGGCCCUUACGGGCUGGGCUACACACGUGCUACAAUGGUGGUGACAGUGGGCAGCGAGCACGCGAGUGUGAGCUAAUCUCCAAAAGACCAUCUCAGUUCGGAUUGCACUCUGCAACUCGAGUGCAUGAAGUUGGAAUCGCUAGUAAUCGCGGAUCAGCAUGCCGCGGUGAAUACGUUCCCGGGCCUU
rnacentral:rRNA from 1 species